rnacentral:lncRNA from 10 species
AAAUCAAAACCACAAUGAGAUACCAUCUCACACCAGUUAGAAUGGCGAUCAUUAAAAAGUCAGGAAACAACAGGUGCUGGAGAGGAUGUGGAGAAAUAGGAACACUUUUACACUGUUGGUGGGACUGUAAACUAGUUCAACCAUUGUGGAAGUCAGUGUGGUGAUUCCUCAAGGAUCUAGAACUAGAAAUACCAUUUGACCCAGCCAUCCCAUUACUGGGUAUAUACCCAAAGGAUUAUAAAUCAUGCUGCUAUAAAGACACAUGCACACGUUUAUUGCGGCAUUAUUCACAAUAGCAAAGACUUGGAACCAACCCAAAUGUCCAUCAAUGAUAGACUGGCUUAAGAAAAUGUGGCAUAUAUACACCAUGGAAUACUAUGCAGCCAUAAAAAAGGAUGAGUUCAUGUCCUUUGUAGGGACAUGGGUGAAGCUGGAAACCAUCAUUCUCAGCAAACUUUCUCAAGGACAAAAAACCAAACAGCCCAUGUUCCCCCUCAUAGGUGAAAAUUGAACAAUGAGAACACAUGGACACAGAAAGGGGAACAUCACACACUGGGGCCUGUUCAGGGCCCUCAGGGGGAGGGGGGAGGGAUAGCAUUAGAAGAUAUACCUAAUGUAAAUGACGAGUUAAUGGGUGCAGCACACCAACAUGGCACAUGUAUACAUAUGUAACAAACCUGCACAUUGUGCACAUGUACCCUAGAACUUAAGGUAUAAUAAUAAUUUAAAGAAAAGAAAAAUAGGGCAUUUUCUAAACAUAGCACUAAUUCUUUGAGCAGUUCAGAACAGCCAGGGCUAGGCAGUAGCCCAGGGUCUCAAGUGUGAGAGAAAUGUAUUCUGCCCUCCUAAGAUAAUCAAGGUCAAGGCAACCUUCUGCAGCUAUGUACAACUUUUCCUUCUCCUGCUCUGUUACUCUGUCCUGUUCAGAGUGCACUUCUGGGUUGCAGGGACACAAUGACUGUCAUGUAAUGUGAGGAUUUACCUCAGCCAGUGGACUAACAUGAGAAACCUGUUCUUAGAGCAUGGCUCCCAGAUAGGCAACAACACAGGCAAGACACACACACCAUGUUUUAUUUGUGUGAAUGAAAUCACACAAUCAAAAUUCAGUGUUUUGGAAAGUUAGGUGAUUUUCCCCCUGUCUCAUGUAACACACGUGGCUUACUAUGCAUUCCUCAAGUCUUCAAGUCUCCUUGAUGAUAAAGGGCUGCUUGACGCAACUAUCAAACUGACAUAACACCUAGCAGGUAUUUUUAAAUUUUUUAAAUACAUGUUAAUUGAUCUUGUCCCACUUGUGCAGUAAAGCAAAUGUGUCUCUCUUCUCUUUGUCUGUGUAUUAUGGUUAUAGACGGACUUAAUUUUAAAGAAACCAAUCAACCCACCCCUACUACCCACCUGGGGCCACAAAACACUUUUGAAUGAGGGAGAAUAAUGUCAAAUAUAUCAAAUACUGACUGGGAACAGCAACUUUAAAAAAAAGGAUUGGAAUACUUGGACUGGAUUGUUUUCAAAAAAGGA